rnacentral:rRNA from 1 species
UACGGGGGGGCAAGCGUUGUUCGGGAUUACUGGGCGUAAAGGGCUCGUAGGCGGCCAACUAAGUCAUACGUGAAAUCCCUCGGCUUAACCGGGGAACUGCGUCUGAUACUGGAUGGCUUGAGUUCGGGAGAGGGAUGCGGAAUUCCAGGUGUAGCGGUGAAAUGCGUAGAUAUCUGGAGGAACACCGGUGGCGAAGGCGGCAUCCUGGACCGAUACUGACGCUGAGGAGCGAAAGCCAGGGGAGCAAACGGG